rnacentral:rRNA from 1 species
GGUACCGUCAAUGCAGAUACCUAUUGGAUAUCUACAAUUUCUUCCCUGUCGACAGAGCUUUACGACCCAAGGGCCUUCUUCACUCACGCGGCGUUGCUGCGUCAGGGUUUCCCCCAUUGCGCAAAAUUCCUCA